GUAGGGAGUGACAAAUCUUUCCAUUUCACUUCCUUAUCUUUCUGAUCUUAGUUCUCCACAUUUCCACAUCAGCUUGCGAAUUCAUGUAAUGUUUGACUGAUCUCCUUCCAUGGGAAUAACUGUAGCAUGCACAGGAUGCAGGGAGGGAGAAGCUGGCAGGUUGUGAAUUCUCCCUCAAAGACAAAACCUUUGGCCUCCUCUCUAGCAACAGCGGCAACCGUGAUCCUUACCCUGCUUUGCAAAGAUAGGCCUACAGCCAGCACCAUCCUGCCUAAUGCUACAUGUGAGAAUGAGGACCGAGGCCACCGUUACACCUGUUCUUUCCACUGCUGGCCUCCACCAACACUUACGUGGGAAGUGGACGGGGUAACCGUCACUGGGAACAGAGGAACGGAAACACAAGUGACAUGGAGGUCUUACAGUGGGCUGAGGGCAAUGCGGCGAGCAGCACCCUGCUGUGGAAAGGAGCCUCCAUUGACCACCAUGACCCCUUCAUCACCUGCACGGCAACCAACCCCUUUGGGAAGCAGACAAUGGUGA
rnacentral:lncRNA from 1 species